GAAAGGAUUCCUUCAUAGCACUGUGUUCGCUGAGGCGAUCUUGAUCGUGAAAAACGCCUUCAGAUAAUUUGGAGGAGUGCGUAGAAACUUCAAGUGUGCUGAAAAACGCUGUUAGCGUGCUUCUGUCGACGCUGCACUUCACUGCUGCCGGCAGUGUUGGUCCGUUUUCAACGACGGCAGGAGACACCAAGAAGUUGGACAGUCGUAUCCAGUGAAGAUUAAGAAGACGUCGAGAUGCCGGUCUCGAGGCUGGCCCCCGAAGCAAUGUGGAUCAGUGACUAGAGCUAGAAUGCUACCGGAUACUGCUGCUCAGCUCAGUGUGGACAAGUACUGCAAUGAGGACAGCGUCUGCCUUUGUGGACUUUUUCUCAUUCUGCUUCUAAUUUCUAAUUCUGCUUGACAGGAAACUGUUGUGCAACAUAACCUUUGCUAACAUUUGAAAAUGUAAAAUGAACCUAUGAAUUGCCAGAGCAAACCUGCUCCUAUUGAGACUUUUACUUAUACAUUGAAUAAAAAAUAAUUGCA